rnacentral:rRNA from 1 species
GAUGAACGCUGGCGGCGUGCUUAACACAUGCAAGUCGAACGGAAAGGCCGAAGCUUGCUUCGGUACUCGAGUGGCGAACGGGUGAGUAACACGUGGGUGAUCUGCCCUGUACUUCGGGAUAAGCUUGGGAAACUGGGUCUAAUACCGGAUAUGACGAUCUCUUGGAUGGGGUUGUGGAAAGCUUUUGCGGUAUGGGAUGAGCUCGCGGCCUAUCAGCUUGUUGGUGGGGUAAUGGCCUACCAAGGCGUCGACGGGUAGCCGGCCUGAGAGGGUGUACGGCCACAUUGGGACGGAGAUACGGACCAGACUCCUACGGGAGGCAGCAGUGGGGAAUAUUGCACAAUGGGCGCAGGCCUGAUGCAGCGACGCCGCGUGGGGGAUGACGGCCUUCGGGUUGUAAACUCCUUUCGCAAUCGACGAAGCCUUUUGGUGACGGUAGGUUGAGAAGAAGCACCGGCUAACUACGUG